CUUACCAGGUCCAGACACAGUUAGGAUUGACAGAUUGAGAGCUCUUUCUUGAUUCUGUGGGUGGUGGUGCAUGGCCGUUCUUAGUUGGUGGAGUGAUUUGUCUGGUUAAUUCCGAUAACGAACGAGACCUCAGUUUAUUAAUUAAAUAAAAAAAUAUUAACAAUAUAAGGGUUAAAAAGAAAUGUAAAUGAAUUUAUUUAUUUACACUCUUUUUAAAACUUGUUUAUAUUUGAUUUUAUUUUCUUAAAAAGACACUUGGUGUUUAACCAAGGGAAGUUUGAGGCAAUAACAGGUCUGUGAUGCCCUUUAGAUGUUCUGGGCCGCACGCGCGCUACACUGAUAAAAUCAAUAAGUUUUAUUAAUUUUUUAACCUUAAUAGAAAUAUUUGGGUAAACUUUGAAAAUUUUAUCGUGCUGGGGAUUGACAAUUGUAAUUAUUUGUCAUCAACGAGGAAUUCCUAGUAAACGUAAGUCAUCAGCUUACGUUGAUUACGUCCCUGCCCUUUGUACACACCGCCCGUC
rnacentral:rRNA from 1 species